ACUUAAAAAUUAAUAUUAAAGUCAUUAGAUUUUACUCUCGGUGAAUUUUUACUUUUUGAAAAUAAUUUCUAAAAAUUGACGAGCGUGCAUUCCUUUCCGUUCAGCCUUGGUGGCCGAUCGUUUUGAACCCGCUGAAACGUGAAGCUUCAUUUUAAGUUAUAAAAACUGUUGCGUACUAUUGCGUCAUCAUCUAGUGUUUCAUCUCUUUUUUUAUCCGGAGUCGUCUGCAUGAAAUACAGUGGAUUCCGUGGUUCAAAAAAAAUCUCUUCUUAUCUGAAUGUAUAUCUUUCCUAUACUUCAGUGCAGUCCGAUCGACUGAAGAGUUUUAAUUUGAAAGUUAAGUGCAAUUGAAAAUAAAGUCUUAAUUGAAAGAUUCUCACAGAGAGUGAAUUGCAGUCCCGGAGCGGAACUUGAAACUUAAAAGUAGAGGCAUGUUCUCAUUGAAAAUUUGGAAGAAGCAAAAUUGACACUAAGGUCGCAUGCUCACUGCUCCUUCGCCUUCAAUUUUCUAGGCAGGCAAAAAACCCUCCUCCGGGCUAAAAUCGGAUGUUCGCAAUCGGCAAUGGCAUUAACUCGAAGGUAUCCUGGUUGAAAAAUCCGUGUUUUAUCGGCAAUGGCAUAAACUCGAAGGUGUCCUGAUUGAAGAAUCCAGGUUUUAUCGGCGAUGGCAUAAACUCGAAGGAGUCCUGGUUGAAAAAUCCGCGUUUUCAAUGGACAUGUCAAAGAAAUAAUAGCACGCUCCAAAACCACUUGGAGGAGGAGCGUUUCCCCUGCGAAUAAUCAGAGAGCGCCACCGGUUGGGCGGGGAGAGGAGGUGGCAAAAUUGUCAAAACUGCCACUUAUGCGAUGAUUUGACGGCUUCCUCAUGCGUCACGCGGUAGACGCACUCAAUGGAGUUACGUAAUAGCCCCGGCGAGGCCUCCAGAAUACGGUUUUCCACACACGCCAAUGUUAAACAGCGACAUGCGGCAAUUCUGGAUCGAUGGACUGCGACACUAAAAAAAUUACCCAGCCCUCCCCUCCCCCCCCCCGCUCCUCGCGUCGGUUCCUGCUCUGAAAUUCGUCUUCGGCGAGCCGAUGCGCGCGCGCGCCUCAGUCCGCUGAAACUGUUAUUCGCAGCAUUCGCGUUUCCUCGGCCGUACGUAUUUUAAGUUUCGUGCACGCUCUGAGAGUAGGAUUCUCCUUCAGUCCUCCUUAUACACUAGAUCGCUAAAUUGCAGGAACCAGUGUAGUGUGAACAAGUGUUAUCGGCUUUAAAAUAACGGCAACUUAAUUUUUUAAGGUUUCUUGGAAAAGCAGCUGUCAAAAAUGAAUAAAGUAGCAUUGUUCGUGUCCGUAGUUCUUGUGGGAGCUGGCGGAUUUUUUGCAAAGGAGGUCGCUUGGCAGGUCAACACUCCAGGUCACAUCGGCGAUACACCUGCAUAUAGGAAAGCGAUUGGCGAUACUGCUGCUUCGAAUGGAAAGAAAUAAGCACUUCAUAAAUAUCCAAACAAAUACCUACCUACAUAAGUACCUCAUGAGUGUAGCUAGGGGGGAGCUGUGAUUCUUUUCUCGUUAUCUCAAUAGGUACACCGAAAAAAUGAAAUUGCUGAUUCAUCAAUUUUGUAGUUAAAAAAACUGACGGACGUGUUUCAAUGUAGAUUUUACGAUGAACAAAUGCUGAUUUAACUACGCCCGUGGUUGAAUUAGCUUUCCACUAUUAUAAAAUGUACAUUUGAAACAUGUCUGUCAUUUUUUUAACAACAAAAUUGUUAAAUCAGCAAUCAAUUUGUUUCCGUGUAUACUUUUAGAUUGUCGUGAAUAGUGAAUGAGAUCUUGCUCCCCUCCCCUCCCCCUCCCCCGAAAAAAAAAAUUCAGCAAUGGCAACAACAAUCUAUGAGAAAUGGCAAUGUGUAGAUGAGGAUGGCUCUGCUUACGCAAUUAGUAAUGUACGUUGCAUUAAUUAUGCUAAUGGCAGUUUAAAAUAGGACAUACUGCUUCAAAAGCUGCCCAACUCUUUUGCAAUGCCGGAUUUCUGACAUUUUAAACUGGUGCGAGAUUGAUCUAGACGCCUCAUGAAGGAUGAGGAAGAGGGGCUUCUUCAGGACAUCCUAAAGCUAAAAGAAGAUCCAGAAGAGGACCUCUAGAUAUGUUUAUAAAUUUCGAGUCUCUCAUAGGUAUGAAAUUGUUUAAGUUUAGAAUUUAUCUUUAUUUUGUUAUAGUCAUUGUUUAUGUUUAUGUUUAUGUAAAGUUUAUUUUCAGUAUUUUUCGUCCUUUUGUCAACUUAGGUAAAAUCUCCCUUAAUUUAUCUUUGGUGAUUCCUUUCUAAACACAUGUUUAUAUUUUAAUGGCCGCAUAUGAUCAACAUUAAAAUAAUUAUCACUUGGA